ACUCCUACGGGAGGCAGCAGUAGGGAAUCUUCCACAAUGGGCGCAAGCCUGAUGGAGCAACACCGCGUGAGUGAAGAAGGGUUUCGGCUCGUAAAGCUCUGUUGUUAAAGUAAGAACACGUAUGAGAGUAACUGUUCAUACGUUGACGGUAUUUAACCAGAAAGUCACGGCUAACUACGUGCCAGCAGCCGCGGUAAUACGUAGGUGGCAAGCGUUAUCCGGAUUUAUUGGGCGUAAAGAGAGUGCAGGCGGUUUUCUAAGUCUGAUGUGAAAGCCUUCGGCUUAACCGGAGAAGUGCAUCGGAAACUGGAUAACUUGAGUGCAGAAGAGGGUAGUGGAACUCCAUGUGUAGCGGUGGAAUGCGUAGAUAUAUGGAAGAACACCAGUGGCGAAGGCGGCGUACCUGGUCUCGCAACUGACGCUGAGACUCGAAAGCAUGGGUAGCGAACAGGAUUAGAUACCCUGGUAGGAUAGCG
rnacentral:rRNA from 1 species